rnacentral:rRNA from 1 species
CUAGCGACUUCAGAGUUUGAUCCUGGCUCAGGACGAACGCUGGCGGCGUGCCUAACACAUGCAAGUCGAACGGGGUUAACCUUCGGGUUAACUUAGUGGCGAACGGGUGAGUAACGCGUGAGAAACCUGCCUUUCAGUGGGGGACAACAGUUGGAAACGACUGCUAAUACCGCAUAAUGUUAUUUAGGGGCAUCCCUGAAUAACCAAAGAUUUAUUGCUGAAAGAUGGUCUCGCGUCUGAUUAGCUAGUUGGUGAGGUAACGGCUCACCAAGGCGACGAUCAGUAGCCGGUCUGAGAGGAUGAACGGCCACAUUGGGACUGAGAUACGGCCCAG